rnacentral:rRNA from 1 species
GCCUGCAGCCACAGCACCCUGGGCAGUGAUCUUAUCAGACCUCCUAACCAGAGCAGGGUUGGGCCUGUUUGCUGCUCCAGUGGGAGACCUCCGAGGAGAGCCUGGGUGUUGCAAGAC